rnacentral:rRNA from 1 species
UACGUAGGUGACAAGCGUUGUCCGGAUUUACUGGGCGUAAAGAGCGCGCAGGCGGUCGUUCAAGUCGAGUGUGAAAGCCCCCGGCUCAACUGGGGAGGGUCACUCGAUACUGAUCGACUCGAAGGCAGGAGAGGGAAGUGGAAUUCCCGGUGUAGUGGUGAAAUGCGUAGAUAUCGGGAGGAACACCAGUGGCGAAGGCGACUUCCUGGCCUGUUCUUGACGCUGAGGCGCGAAAGCGAGGGGAGCAAACGGG